UGACUACGUCUUGUACCGGAAGUCUUGUUGCCAUGUGGUCGCCACACGCCGAGUCCCACUGCCGUUUACCUGUAGGGACUCUGCACGUGUUGGGUUAUACAUUGAGGAUUUUUGACCUCCGUGUCUUUUCUCGGGACUCCUCCGUUUGUCCUCGGCUCGUGCAGCUUGUAGCGCGAGCCGCCGGUCGCGUGUCACGACGGUUGGAAGAGGACACGCGGGUUUAUUCGCGCGAGCUGGCAGCGGCGGGCUAAGAAGCUAACGUUAGCUAAGCCGGAGAACAACAUGUUCAGACUUGUCCGCAGACACGCAGAGAGCGGGGACGACGGCUCAUACCGCCAGAAAACCACCUGACAGUUGUUUAAACUCGACAAACAACACACCGAGUGAAGUCAAAAAUGGAUUACCAGUUUCCACAGCAGCUUUUUCCUUCGUUUUAUAACAGCGGACCGCCGGACUCGGUCCUGAAACACUGUGCUGGGAGAUGGGGCAGCUACGACCGAGUCAGACCUCAGGGCGGCUCGGGUUCUCUCUCCAGCUGGACAUUCACAUCCAGGCAUCAGAUCAGAGGAGAGACAUGGCGUCAGACUGAGCCGGUACCGGUUCCCCUCCUGUCCCCUAAAAACUCUGUCCUUUGGCCUUCAACGCCUCCUGACCCGCUGGAGUUCACAAAACAUAUGCAGAACUUCUUCAUGGAUUACCGGGAGGACGCCUUCGGGUGCAUGAGUGAAAUUCUGGGUGAACACUUCAACUUCAGACACGGGGAUCAAAAACCAACGAGAAAGGAUUUGAGAAAGAAACUACCACAGAAAGAUUCAGUCAACAUGUGGAGGGUGAAGGAGUUCCUCGAUGUGCUGCAGUUUGAAAUAUGUCAGCAGUCGUAUCACUCCAGAACACUGGACCAGUACACCAAGCUCAUGUCAGACGUGGUGCCUACCAUCCCUCCUAGACUGCUGGGCAGCCUGCUGUACGAGGAGCUGACGGAGCAGAGGGACCGCAUGAUGUUCUCUGAAGCAUCCACAGGGGGCGCUCUGGCCUUUGUCCCCUUCUCACCGAGCUGCAGCAGCCCUCAGCGUGGCUACCUCCUCUACCCUGGAAAACAGGGGAUGGACCGCCUCAACUUCCACAGAGUGGCGCUUCAGCACCAAAGAGGAAGUCCUUCCUGUGUGGACGCCAGCAGCAGUGACCCGUUCAGCUUCCAGCUGAAAGGCCCAGUCAGACAGAUCAGCUGUGCCUCCCUGCUCGAUGACUGUUGUGUUGCUGUGCGAUCGGAUCACCUGUGUGGAGUCUGGAGGGUCAGUGAAACAAACGAACCCCAUCUGCUGCAAGUGGUCAACACGAGAGAGGUCGCCACCUGCAUCAACGCCAGUCCUCAUGUUUUAGGUGAAGUUCUGGUAGCGAGUGAGAGCGGAGCAGCAAAGCUGUGGACUGUGGGCCGAGGGAUGCAGAAGGUCCGGGAGGAGGACGGCAACCUGUAUUUCAACGCCAAGUCGUCGUGGCGAUGGUGCGAGUUCUCAGCCCACCCGAGGGUGAUGGUGUACGCAGACAGGACGGGGGUGGAGCUCACAGACAUGAGGAUGAAUCCUGUCAACAGUCACAGUCUGUUUCGUAUCAGCAACACCUCAGACUGUCGCAGCGGGGAGAGACUUUUUCUGUCCAGAUACCUGGGAGACGUCCACUGCUUCCACCACCUCAUCACCACGCAGCACUCGGCCUACAUCAUGGAUGAGCGAUUCCCCACAGUGCCCAUGCUCAAGUGGGAUCACAUGAUGCAGUCCCCGCCCAUGUUUUGUCAUGUGGUUCCCGGCUCCGUUUCCUCUGGCUCGGCAGUUGGCGGGGCUAGGUCCACAAAGGUUCUGUUGGGCUCCCAGCACUCUCAGGAAAUCAUGCUGCUGCAGUACUCAGGAGGAAGAGCAGAGGCCUGCUUCAGUCAAGGUCCUCCUCAGGCUCUGCUCAGACCCAGAGACAGUCUAAAACACCUUCUUGUCCAGAUCCCUCACCGCCUGGACACAGCAACCGACAGAUUGUCGUCACCUGCUGCAGGUCUGACUUGUAUCCAGAAUAAAGGUGGAGGAGAAGCAGAUGGUGAGGAGUGUAUCUGCGUCCUGCAGCUGACUGAAGCAGGAGAUAUUUUUUACCAGAUCCUCGAGUCCGAGCAGCCGGACACCUCUCGCCAUCCAGCAGCAGAGGAAGAACCGCCGCCUCAGCGAGCAGUACAAAAGCUGAAGAAAGAAGCCACAGCGCUGAGACAACCCGCAGAGCAGCUUCAAACGGACUCCCAGCAGGUCGUAUCAGACACAUCGAGCGACGAGGGCGUGAUUGAGCCGACUCAGCAUCCAGCUCAGAGGCUCGUGCCUGAAACACCAGAGAGGGAACAACGACCCCUGUUCUCCGACUCUUCCUCCGAGGACUCAGAGUCAGGAGGAAAAGGUCGACACCUGAAGCAGCUGCUGCAGGUCAUCGUCAACGACAACCAAGAGAGCGAAUUGGAUGCAGAUGUGACAAAUACAGAGGUGGUUGAAAAUUCGGAGGAACCCAGCACUGUGGAGGAAGAGUAUGGAGGGUCCAGCAGCUCGAGGCCGGUCGGACCCUCGACACAGCAGACUCCGGUGAAGCUCAGCGACAGCACUCUGCUCACGUGGAAACAUUGGCUCCAGAAACUAAUGCGAAAGGCUUAUGGAAAGAAGCCCCGCCCACACUGCCCACAGCAUUUUAAAGUAAAAAACAAAGGCCUCCUCCACCUGUCUGUGGAUGGAGCGAGGGAUUCGACAGAAGAGGAGCGUGUGCAGAGCCUGAGGCGCAAUCUAAAAGCAUGCAUGUCCAACUCCUCUCUGUUGGUUAACAGUGCUGUCUCUUCCUCCCUUGAGGCUCAAGAAAUUUUACCCAUGCCAAAGCUGGUGGACACAAACGCCUGGGUGGAUGAUCUCAGCCACCGCCUGACCCUCUCCUGGGAGGGGGAAGAGGCGUGGUGGGCGUGGUGGGAGGGAGAGCUUGGGCUGAACAGGGACAGGAAGGUGGCGGCUCUGAGGAAGAAGAGGAGGAGAGAGAAGGAGAAGAGGAGAGCUGCCGGCCGGCGCCUGGAGCUGUCCGGAAGCUUCACCUCGUCUAUCAGCUACCAGUCAGAGUAUCAGGACGACUUGUCCGGUUCAGGCUGGACCUCAGCAGCGAGCCAGGGAGCGGCGUGGUCAGACUCUGAAGGUAUGCUGUCUGAGCCAGAUGGCUUCUGGGAGAGCAGGACCCCGGUAGCUGUAACACCUUCGAGCGUGCAAGCGGACAGUCCAGUUUCCACGUCAGCCGCAUCUCAAAGAAUCCGAGAGAGACCAGGCGACCCUCAGACCCCUAACAGCUCCCACUCCCAGACACAAAAACCGGUCUCUACACCGACCAGUCAGAGGAAGAACAGACGUCCACUAGAGGACUACCUCAGAUCUAUGUUCGCCACACAGGAUGAGCGCUCGCAGCAUGAUGCCUACUUCCUGGAAGAGGGGAGCAACACGCAGCCCCCAACUGUGCCCUCCUCCUCCUGUCAGCUCCGCAGCAACUCCCAGCCUGUCCCCGUGAGGAACCUCAGGGUGGAUCUGUCCCAGGACAUCUUUGCCGGGCCGAGUCCCUCCCAGUCCCUGUCCCAGAGUUCACAGGGUCGACUGAGGCCGUCCCAGGCGUCUCAACCCAAGAAGAAGUCUCGAAUGGGAUUUUGACUCCUUGGUCGAUCUGUCACCACACACAGGGGGAGGAGUCAAUCUUUGGAAAACCUGUUGGGUUAAAAAAAACCUCAGGAAAAUCAAAAACAAGAAGACCAGACCAGCCGACCUGCCUCAAAUUAAAAAUCAUGUUUUUUUUGGUUUUUUUUCAUUUUGGCCGUCUUCAGCUGCCUCAGGACUCAUGACGUGGAUCUAUAAUGGAUUUAUUUACUUGGAUUGACUCACAAAAUGAACACACACACUGGAUCCACUGCAAGAGGACAAACUGAGGAUCCUUGACUGCACACUGCUUUGUGUCACUGAAUCCUGACUGAGCUGAACGUCCGUUAUGGGGGGGUGAACAUCCUGUUAGACUAAGACGAGAGUCGCAAAGGCAGACUCUAUGAUUUAUUUAACUGAAGAAACUGAACACUGUACAAAUAUUCUCAUUUCAUCAAUUUUUGGACGACUGUUGCUACAGUUAUCACUCAGACUAACUGGUUCCUGAUUAAACAGCAGUGAAACCGUUUGCAAACCUGUGAUGGUCUAUGUUUGUUUUCUUAGAGAACAUGUAUCGGGUAUCAGUAAAGAAUACUACUGAUGAGCAGAAUCAAUAAUUGGACAUCAGUUCCCAUCCCUGAUGGAGUGUCUGCUAAGAACUGUGACUGUUGCUGACUAUUUCUGUUUGUUGAAAGUGAAAUCUGAAGCCUGGAUGUUUCUGAAUGAAAUGACUCGAGAUAAAUGAAAGUGCACCUUCCUCACUGUGAGACAUUAUUUUUAUAAAACCUUUCUACAUCUGCUUUUUUUUUUUAAAAAAAGACUUUCAAUAAAAGCAUGACUUAAUGAA